rfam:Human gut metagenome DNA, contig sequence: F2-V_013747.
UAUUAUGAUGUAAGUGUCAAAAGUAUAAAUUGCGUUUGUGCUUGCACAAAUAAGCAAUUUAUACUUAUUGACACGCCGAACACCGAAAACGGAAUAAAAUGGUGUGAAUACGCCAUUUUAUGGGAGUUUGAGGUGUUCGAGGAUUGCGGGAAUUGCAUAGCAAUGGAGCAAUCCGUAGGUAUCAUAAUA